rnacentral:lncRNA from 1 species
GUGAUAUAUAUAUAUUUUUUGACAAUACAGAGUAGAAGCCUGAAACUAAAACAAAAGUAAAGGAGAAGAGAAAAUUUUAAAGUGUGUUUGUCACACAUACUUAUAAAAGCAUGAAUAAUGAUGUAUGCAUAACAGUUUCUCAUCUUUGUUGUCCUUGAAUUUCAGAGCUAUUAUUACAGAAUAAAACAUUCCUGCCAAUCUUUGAAGACUUGAAUAAAACCAGCUGGUGGACUAAGAUGCCAGAAGGAAUAAGUAGUUACCAGUUAGGUACUCUGAAUGGCCAACGAUGGGAAGGGUUGGACUGAAAACAACUCUCAUGAUGACUUCAAAGGAUCCACCUAAGACUUCCAUUGCUGGGGCCCCUCAGGCAUAAAGUCCUCUCCAACCUGUGAUGUUUCUAGGUGCACAUCACAAUACCUGCCAAGGCUUAUGCUCAGGGAAAAUGGGGAUAUCCGUUUAGAGAAAGGGCUCCCUUCCAGGGUAACAUUCUUUUCAACUUCCGUCUGGCCAGAGUUUUCCUGGUAUUCCCUUGGAGCUCACCCAGAGAAACUCAGCAAUGGAGGGCUCUGCACUGCCUCGUCCAUGACAGCCACCUCAUCAGCAAGAAGAACCAAUACAGUGGCUUCAUCACACAAGGACUGCCCACGCUGCACUCCCAGAACCCAGGACCUGGGCUGUGCUGAGAGCAAGCGGCAGAGCUGUUGGGCACGCAGAGCACCUGGAUGCCCAGGUUACUCUGGACACCUUCCACAUGUGGAAGGAAAGCCAGGGCUCUUCUUCCAGCGCCACAGACUAGCCAGCAGUGGCCCCUGUGCCCACGUGGUGCUGCCCUUCUGCCUGCUGGCUUCCCUGCUCGCUUGUCCUGGGCUGUGGGCCUGA